rnacentral:lncRNA from 1 species
CAAAAUCUUCAAAAUGCUCCAAAAUUGAGGAAACUUAACAACAAUGUUAUUAAACAUCUGUAGAUGCGGUCUUUAACUUUGGAAUUUUCAAACUGCCUGCAGUUUAGUGGCAAUGUGGGAAGGGUGCCAUCCGCUAUUGCUUGCAAUGGCAAAUCUAGUUAUGGCACCCUCAACGGAGUUGGGGUGACAUAUUGUUAUUCAUCGUUUCUUUUUUUUCUUAUUAUUUUUAUUUUUCUUCCACACAUUUUGUCCGCGCGAGUUCUCAGAAUUGAACGGACCAAUGUUUAUGGAACUCAACUAUAAUGAGGAACCCCAUUUGAAGUUAUGCACCUUGCUAUGGAAUGGUAAAAGAUGGCCGCCGU